AUUCCAGCUUCAGUAGCGUAUAUUAAAGUUGUUGCAGUUAAAAAGCUCGUAGUCGCAUUUCUGGCGAGAGGAAUUGGUCCGACAUUUAUUGUGGGUACUCGAUUCUCUCUCGCCAUCCUUGAGUGGUCCGUUCUGGCAUUUAGUUGUCGGGGCGUCAGCCGCUCAUCGUUUACUGUGAGAAAAUUAGAGUGUUCAAAGCAGGCUUAUGCCGUUGAAUAUAUUAGCAUGGAAUAAUAAGAUAGGACCUCGGUGCUAUUUUGUUGGUUUGCGCACAGAGGUAAUGAUGAACAGGGACAGUUGGGGGUAUUUGUAUUUCGUUGUCAGAGGUGAAAUUCUUAGAUUUACGAAAGACAAACUACUGCGAAAGCAUUUACCAAGGAUGUUUUCAUCA
rnacentral:rRNA from 1 species